CGCGUGAAAGUGCGUAGGCUGGUGACUUAGGCAAAUCCGGGUCGCUAAGGCUGAGACACGAGACGAGCACCUACGGGUGUGAAGUUGCUGGUGCCCUGCUUCCGGGAAAAGCCUCUAAGCUUCAGAUGAACAUCGACCGUACCCCAAACCGACACAGGUGGUCAGGUAGAGAAUACUAAGGCGCUUGAGAGAACUCGGGUGAAGGAACUAGGCAAAAUAGUACCGUAACUUCGGGAGAAGGUACGCCGCUGAUGGUGAUUGACUUCGCGUCAUAAGCUGCUGGCGGUCGCAGUGACCAGGUGGCUGGGACUGUUUAUUAAAAACACAGCACUCUGCUAACUCGAAAGAGGACGUAUAGGGUGUGACACCUGCCCGGUGCCGGAAGGUUAAUUGAUGGGGUUAGCGUAUGCGAAGCUCUUGAUCGAAGCCCCGGUAAACGGCGGCCGUAACUAUAACGGUCCUAAGGUAGCGAAAUUCCUUGUCGGGUAAGUUCCGACCUGCACGAAUGGUGUAACCAUGGCCACGCUGUCUCCACCCGAGACUCAGUGAAAUUGAAAUCGCAGUGAAGAUGCUGUGUACCCGCGGCUAGACGGAAAGACCCCGUGAACCUUUACUACAGCUUGGCACUGAACAUUGAACCUACAUGUGUAGGAUAGGUGGGAGGCUUAGAAGCACUGGCGCUAGUUGGUGUGGAGCCAUCCUUGAAAUACCACCCUUGUAUGUUUGAUGUUCUAACAUUGGCCCCUUAUCGGGGUUGUGGACAGUGCCUGGUGGGUAGUUUGACUGGGGCGGUCUCCUCCCAAAGAGUAACGGAGGAGCACGAAGGUUGGCUAAGUACGGUCGGACAUCGUACGGUUAGUGCAAUGGCAGAAGCCAGCUUAACUGCGAGACAGACACGUCGAGCAGAUACGAAAGUAGGUCAUAGUGAUCCGGUGGUUCUGAAUGGAAGGGCCAUCGCUCAACGGAUAAAAGGUACUCCGGGGAUAACAGGCUGAUACCGCCCAAGAGUUCAUAUCGACGGCGGUGUUUGGCACCUCGAUGUCGGCUCAUCACAUCCUGGGGCUGAAGUCGGUCCCAAGGGUAUGGCUGUUCGCCAUUUAAAGUGGUACGCGAGCUGGGUUUAGAACGUCGUGAGACAGUUCGGUCCCUAUCUGCCGUGGGCGUUUGAGAGUUGAGAGGAGCUGCUCCUAGUACGAGAGGACCGGAGUGGACGAACCUCUGGUGUUCGGGUUGUCAUGCCAAUGGCACUGCCCGGUAGCUAUGUUCGGAAUCGAUAACCGCUGAAAGCAUCUAAGCGGGAAGCGAGCCUCGAGAUGAGCUCUCACUAGCACUUUGAGUGCUCUGAAGGGUUGUUGAAGACGACGACGUUGAUAGGCGGGGUG
rnacentral:rRNA from 1 species